GAUGAACGCUGGCGGCGUGCCUAAUACAUGCAAGUCGAGCGAACAGACGAGGAGCUUGCUCCUCUGACGUUAGCGGCGGACGGGUGAGUAACACGUGGAUAACCUACCUAUAAGACUGGGAUAACUUCGGGAAACCGGAGCUAAUACCGGAUAAUAUAUUGAACCGCAUGGUUCAAUAGUGAAAGACGGUUUUGCUGUCACUUAUAGAUGGAUCCGCGCCGCAUUAGCUAGUUGGUAAGGUAACGGCUUACCAAGGCGACGAUGCGUAGCCGACCUGAGAGAGUGAUCAGCCAGACUGGAACUGAGACACGGUCCAGACUCCUACGGGAGGCAGCAGUGGGGAAUAUUCCACAAUGGGCGAAAGCCUGACGGAGCAACGCCGCGUGAGUGAUGAAGGUCUUCGGAUUGUAAAGCUCUGUUAUUGGGGAAGAACAAAAGUGUAAGUAACCAUGGCUGUCUUGACGGUACCUAAUCAGAAAGCCACGGCUAACUACGUG
rnacentral:rRNA from 1 species